AGGAUGGAACUCAUUAUUUUGGUUUACCAGCAGAAAAUGCUGCGAUUGAUGGAGGAAAGUCACAAACAGUGUGGACUGACAAUAAUAGAUCUAUAAUGAGGGAUCAGUUGAAAGGUUUCGAAAUUUAUUUUAAUUGGGAUUAAAACUCUGAACAAGUUUUCCAAGUGGACUCAGUGGUUGUUUCUUCAUUUAU